UACGCCGUAAACGAUGGAUACUAGCAUUCGGAGGUGUCGACCCCUUCGGUAGCGAAGCUAACGCGUUAAGUAUCCCGCCUGUGUAGUACGAGCGCAAGCUUAAAACAUAAAGGAAUUGACGGGGACCCGCACAAGCGGUGGAGCGUGUUCUUUAAUUCGAGGCUAAGCGAAGAACCUUACCAGGGCUUGAAAUCCUGCGAAAGUUUGCGAAAGCAGACCGUGCCUUCGGGAACGCAGUGACAGGUGC
rnacentral:rRNA from 1 species